GGAUGUGAGGGUGAUCUGGCUGCGACAUCUGUCACCCCAUUGAUCGCCAGGGUUGAUUCAGCUGAUCUGGCUGGCUAGGCUUCCUCCCUCAACCCUCCCUCCAUGUGCAUCCCUCCCGAAGUGCGCUCGGUCGCGCUCGGUCAAAGAGGAUGGCCUUCCCCGAAUAGAGACGGACCCAGACCGGUCUUCGGUCAGUCGAGGGUAUAUGAGUAGCUGCGCUCCCCUGCUAGAACCUCCAAACAAGCUCUCAAGAAUGAAAGAACUGGCCCAGAGAGGUUGUUGAAUGGUAGUGUUUCAGUCAAGGCCCUGGGUUCAUUCCUUGUGACAACACAAUAAAUAUAUAAAUUUGUAGUGUUCUAUCACCAAAU
ensembl:misc_RNA 7SK 7SK RNA